rnacentral:rRNA from 1 species
UACAGAGGGUGCGAGCGUUAAUCGGAAUUACUGGGCGUAAAGCGCACGUAGGUGGCGACGUAAGUCGGGUGUGAAAGCCCCCGGGCUCAACCUGGGAACUGCAAUGGAAACUGGCGGGCUUGAGUGUGGCAGAGGGGGGGUGGAAUUCCGCGUGUAGCAGUGAAAUGCGUAGAGAUGCGGAGGAACACCGAUGGCGAAGGCAGCCCCCCUGGGCCAACACUGACGCUCAGGCACGAAAAGCGUGGGGGAGCAAACAGG